GAGAAUAGGUAGGGAGAGAAAGAGAGAGAAUAGGUAGGGAGAGAGAGAAUAGGUAGGGAGAGAGAGAAUAGGUAGGGAGAGAAAGAGAGAGAAUAGGUAGGGAGAGAGAGAAUAGGUAGGGAGAGAGAGAAUAGGUAGGGAGAGAGAGAAUAGGUAGGGAGAGAGAGAAUAGGUAGGGAGAGAGAGAAUAGGUAGGGAGAGAGAGAAUAGGUAGGGAGAGAGAGAAUAGGUAGGGAGAGAAAGAGAGAGAAUAGGUAGGGAGAGAAAGA